UGCUACAUUCUAGUUAGUGCAUCAGUGUGCCGAGUUAAUCAAAUUUGUGAGAAUCUAGAGGCAGGGAUUUCUUAGGGUGAUAUCUAGAGGUGCACCGAUACAUCGGUCCCAUACUGAAUCAGCAUUGAUACAGGGAAAAUUGAGAGAGCCAGAGAUAGCAGACAUACAAUUAGCAGAAGAAAAGAAGCUGAUUACUGGGUGAUGAAGGACUAUCAAAAGGUCUGGGACUGAGGAGAGGAUAAACUUUUUGAUUUGAGGAUGAAGAACCUCCAGAGCUGCAAGACAUGGCAGAGGGGUGUUGGGUGGACAAAGGACACAUGUGGAGCUACAGGAGAAGGCAGAACUGUUGUGUGCUACUGAUGUAGAGGGAAGCAUUCAACACUGGCAUGGGUUCAAGUCUGAAGCAGCAUAACCUAAAUGGCUGUCUGAUGUCAGCAGAACAGUCUGAAGCCUACUAGCCUACACAGUGUGCACCUGCUGGCUGGCACCGCUCCGCCUGACAUCAGAGCAGUGGGCAGCAGGACAGAACGACCAAGACAAACUGAAGAUGUGAAAUACCUGCUGUGCGCCCAGCCCACAGCACAGGAAGUCACGCAGGAGCUUCCUCACCAGCACCCAACCUCUCAGUGCCACACUCAAGGAGACAUGACUUCAGAUCUGGAAUGAGAGGCUAAAGAAAAUACCCAACACCAGAAAAAUGGGCAUUUCAGCAGCUGAGUCCUUACCACCAGGGGCUGAUGAACCAUGACAAAGGUAGCGAUAUCUCAACUGCCUACAUACUGGAGUCAGACACUCCAAGGAACUAAUGAAGAAGUGGGGCUAUACUAUUGAUUCAACCACCUGUGACUGAGGCACAGAGCCUCAGAUUAUGCAACACCUGCAAUGCCCGUUGCUUGAAGGCACAUGUACAAUGAAAGACCCUGCAAAGAACAAUAAACAAGCAGAGCAUGUGUAACAAAAGGGUCAAAUGUGCUGCAGAGACGCACGAAGCAGAAGAACAGUGCCACUGGAAGUUAGGCCUAAAAUACUGUAUCCCUACUACAUGGGUCUUAAUGUUGCCUAGUGUGAAGGGGGUGAAGUCAGAGUUCUUGGUACUGUAUUAAAUGCAAGGUCUAUAUUACACAACUCUGAAAAAAAAGGAACAAAAAUACAUCCAGUUAACACUUCGAUUUGCAAUUACAUGCACACAUGAAAGCUUUAGCAAAUCAGUACUGUGAAUAUUGCUGUAUUAUAGUUUUAUAGUUGGUAGAGUCGGAAGGGACCUGAGCAGAUCAUCAAGUCCGACCCCCUGCCACGGGCAGGAAAGGAUGCUUGGGUCAAAUCACCCCGGCAAGGUGUGUAUCUAGCCUCCCUUUGAAGACCCCCAGGGUACGAGCGAGCACCACUUC